rnacentral:tRNA from 1 species
GUUGAGAUGGCAGAGCCCGGUAAUUGCAAAAGACCUAAGCCCUUUCACCCAGAGGUUCAACUCCUCUUCUUAACU